CAGAAAAUAGUUUAAUAAAAAUAAUAAUUUUGGAGAUUAUAGAUGAAUGAUUUAUUUUUUUCUGA
rnacentral:tRNA from 1 species